CCCUUUAAAUAAUCUCGGGCCCAUUCGAUUUGUUCGAUUGUACGGCCCAGUAUUGUGUGAAGUGCGCUGAAAAAUUAGCAGUCUGUGCCGGGCUGGCCACAAAAAUGAAUAAAAUGGAAUCGUGUAAAUGGCUGCGUGACCCGUCACCCCAUUAAAAAGGUCACAGACACGGCUCCGACUGCCUGGGCCACUUUACCCUUGCGCACGUGACCAGAAACCUUAAAAAAAGAUGCCACAUACAUAUAUGUAUAUAUAAAAUUGUGAAAAUGAAAACCGCAGGACUUACCGACAGACAUUCAGGCAGCCAACCAUCAGAAAUGAAUCACAAUGUCGGAGGAGCAAAACCGAAUGAUUACAUUUAAGAUGAUUUUGGCAGAUUUACGCCGGUUGGCAAAAAGUUUUGCUCCCCUUCCGAUUGGAAAACUUUUAAAACGCAUUAAGCCCGUUGUAAUCUGGCAGGAUCCGGGGGACCAAAAAGCCGGAAGAAGGCCCAGCAGUAUCCCGGCACAUCCUUGCACAUUCAUGUAGUAAAUGUAUUCAUCCACUCAGA